rnacentral:rRNA from 1 species
GACGAGCGCUGGCGGCGUGCUUAACACAUGCAAGUCGAACGGAAAGGCCCUGCUUUUGUGGGGUGCUCGAGUGGCGAACGGGUGAGUAACACGUGAGUAACCUGCCCUUGACUUUGGGAUAACUUCAGGAAACUGGGGCUAAUACCGGAUAGGAGCUCCUGCUGCAUGGUGGGGGUUGGAAAGUUUCGGCGGUUGGGGAUGGACUCGCGGCUUAUCAGCUUGUUGGUGGGGUAGUGGCUUACCAAGGCUUUGACGGGUAGCCGGCCUGAGAGGGUGACCGGCCACAUUGGGACUGAGAUACGGCCCAGACUCCUACGGGAGGCAGCAGUGGGGAAUAUUGCACAAUGGGCGGAAGCCUGAUGCAGCAACGCCGCGUGCGGGAUGACGGCCUUCGGGUUGUAAACCGCUUUCGCCUGUGACGAAGCGCGAGUGACGGUAAUGGGUAAAGAAGCACCGGCUAACUACGUG